UACUUUAGAGAACAGCCCGGAUUUUCCCUGAUAUUCAACAUUGAAACCAUGUAAUUGAUUGUUUAUACAAGCAAUUAAAUGAUUAGGUUAAGUGCUUCUAUCACAGUUGGUGUCCACUGAUGUUAUCAAAUGAACACAGAUGGUUAGCUGGUCAAGAUUAUUUAAUUUCCAUAUCCUCUGCACUAAAUACAUUUUAUAUUAUUGUCUACAAAAUAUUCUCAGUCAAGGUAUUUUGAAUGAAAAAAAAUUUACUUUAAAAAUGCAUUUAAAUAAUAUAUAAAUUUAAUUUUUCUUUAGGAUUUCUGCAGCUAAUUUGGAAAUGCUAUGAUAAAUAAUUUUUAAAUUUAACAAAUUUGAUAUUUUUUAAUAUUAUAUCAUUAUCAAUAGGGUCCAGGACCAAUUCAGUCUAU
rnacentral:lncRNA from 1 species